AUCUAUCCAAGUCUCGGUCAAGAAGGAUUUUUGAAUCCUUAUCGGCAAGGGUCAUCUCGUUAGCUUUCUCGGUGAAGCGGGGUGUUACAAGUUACUAUACUCGGCACAUUAAACGCCGAGUCGUUUAUGAUUGGUUAUUCGCAAAUAGGUUUUAGAGUUCAGCAUUAUGACGGCCGAACCACUUUCACAGUCAAGACAUAUAUUUGUUUUGAAUACUUGUGUCCCUAUACCCUGGUGUCGAUUCGGCAUGCUUAUACUCUUACGAAUAUAAUCACGGUGACCGAAUCCGACGCCGACGAUUUUUGAACUUCAUAGAACUAGUAGCUUUGUCUUCAAGCUCUAGAACCUGAAGGCCGAUGCAUGUUCCUUCCUCCGCUGCAGUCGCAAGAUCAAGAAGUCAGUCGCGCACCCAACGCAACAUCAACAAAUUUUACUCCUCGGCUGAGCUCGGUUGACGAGUUGGCACACCCCGCAUACAACCAAAUAACGUAGUUAGCUUACUAAUUACUCGGCCUGUGCGCCACGUAGGCUUGGUAGUUUUUAGGGUCAACAUUUUGGCACGCACGGUGGGACCCAGUGCUAAAACUACGAAGUUCACAUGAUAGAUCAAGAUUUCAAUCAGGUUCCGUUGGAGACUUGGCGCCAAGUGAAGCAUUGCUACAAGAAGAAAGCUAAACUCCUUGAGAAGUUGUCUAGAAGAUGGGGGCAAUUUUCAGCUCCAGCAACAGUCAAACUUCGGCCUAGGAAAAUUGUCAAGAUGGCCGAAGAAGAACCCAGGGCACAUGUUUGUUCGGUUGAGACUGAAAGUGUGGUAGGCCUAAAAGAAAAAGUUCAAGUUUCUGACCCAAAAAUUGACUCAGAAAAUGAUUCGUCAAAUAAAUGUUCCAAUGAUGAACGAGGCCAAUACACGGCUUUAGACGAAAAAACCACAUCAAUUGAUAUGGUAAUUGGAGACAUGAUCUUAGAAGCCGAAACCACGCAAAUUGAUAUGAUUAUUAGUGAUAAAGCUGAUAUAGAGAAAUCCCAAUCGGCUAAGUUGUUCAAGUUAAAAGCCGAAAUUGGCGAAAUUAUUAUGCCCGGGGGGCAUAAUAAUUGUCCAACACAAUCGGCGGCCGAUAAAACAUCUUUCAUUAAGCCAAACGUAUUUGGAGAUGUUAUUCUAUUCAACUUUGAAAAAAGUCAAACUGAGAAUUUUGAUAUAAAAAGAUCUCAGCUAGGAAUAAAACAUCGUUGGCCUCCUCCACUUUAUUGUUCGGCCACUUUUGUUUUCCUUUGUUAAAAUAAAAAAAAAUAAAAAAACAUAAAAAAAGAAGAAACAAUAGGUGAAUAAACAUUUUCUUAACCAUUCGGUCUUUCAAACCGAUGCGCAAGAAAGUAAGGUUAAAGUUUUAGUCUUGCCAAGAUUACAUAUAAUAUAUAUAGAGUUUUGGUGUUGAGCAAAAAUCAUGCGGUAUUUGUCGAGUUUAGUGGUGUCGAUUCAUGUGGCGGUGUUGACAAAAAAAAAUUAUUUUUCUUAAUCAUUCGGUCGUGUAGGCCGAUGCUUAAGAAAAUAAGGGGGGCAAACAUUGUUAGUCGGCGGCGUGGGUUUAUAUGUUGCGUUGCUGACAUUGGGUUUAAUAUAUCACGUUCAGGAUUGAUGGACAAGCCGAGCUGCCAAGAAUGGUUCUCCUCGGCCUAAUGUUUUGCGACCUCGCCCUACUUUUUAUCGACCUCGGCCUAACGGUAGGAAUGCAUGCAAAUUCAACAUUAUAUUUAUAUAUGCAUGGCAUUCAUGUUGGCAGAACACAUUCAAUUGAGUUUUGUUAUGAAGUUUAAUAUAUAUAUAUAUAUAUAUAUAUAUUUAUAUUUAUAUAUUCAAAAUAGGUAGUAGGCUUCAGCCUAUGGACAUGGUGGCGUGAGGAAUCAUGAUUUGCUUCAAGGUACUAGGCUAGUAGAAGUUAUGGUUUGCUUUCAUGUCAUGUCAGAACACAAUUGGAAAGAGUGAGAAGUCAUGGUUUGCCUUCAUGUCAUGUUAGAACACAAUUGGGAAGACAAAAGUUUUAUUUAUUUAUUUAGGCCGGGCUCGACCAAUUCGUCGAAUAUACUCGGCCGAAUCUGGAUUUUAUUGUUGUUUUGCUCAGCCAACUUUUGCCGAGCUCGACGGACAUGAGUUGGUGCUCGGCAAUAAAAUCAUGGGUCUCUUCUCUUCCAUAGCAUGAUAUUUACAGUAAAAGGCUAUCUAAAUGGGGAUUUGUUUUAAUAUUUUAGUGGACCUCAUCUCAAAUUUUGGUCAAAAGAACAAAAUUUUAGAAAUUAGUUUGCCAAAUGAAUUUUUAUUCGACGGUGGUUUCUCAGUAGUUCUCAGCUAUAUGUUUUCUUGGUCAUUCGGCGAAGUUACGAGUUUCGAGGCCAUCUAGUCGAAGUUGAGGGAAAUUUUAAUAUGCGUUGACGAAUAAUUUCCUUGACCAUUCGGCUUAUGAGCCGAAGCUCAAGGAAACUGAGGGGUAAUGUUUGGACCUAAAUUUACACCAUCAGCCUGUGAAAUCAAGGUCGUUGAAUAAACAUAGCUCCCGACUGUCGGAUCAAGAAAUAAAGGUCAUUAUUAAAAGACAAUGGUUUUUAAAGUUAUGAUUUUUAUCAUAAUUAUCUUUUAAUAAUGAUUUAUUAUGAAAGAUGAGAUAUAUCUGGAAGCAUGACGGCACAACUGGCGUGUGAAUGUGUGGAUGGGAUUGGAUUUAAGUGAUAGCCAUCAGGAUGCAUGCAUGGAUGAGUUUAAAUCAUAGGAAACCUAGGUAAACUAGGCUUUUUGUUUUACUUGGUAAUGGAUGUGGCAGAUGUGCCGUGGGAAAGGCUAUCAUAUAUAUAUAUAUAUAUAUAUAUAUAUAUAUUUGGUGAAUGUCGUACAUUUUGGCAGUCUGCAUGCCAUGGGAAAGGUGCAAACUAUAUAUAUAAUUGGUGGUUGUUUAGGUGAAGGUUAUCCAAGUCACGUCAAAUACAUGGGAAUUUGAAAUAGAACUCUACUCGAGAAUCAGGUCGUGCCAAGCAAGUACAUCAGUCCUAUAAAUACAGAUGCAAUGGCAACGGAAAAGGGACCUCCAAUUCAACACACAAAUCGCCUUGCGCAUUCUCUCGCUCUACGCGAAACCUCUCAACAACCUUGAGAUUUUUGUUUUCCUCUUUUCACCAACGCACGUUCACUGUGAAGGCAACCGGCGAACAUCUUCAGUUUGGAUAAACAGCACUGUUGUCGUAGAAUUAGCCGACCGUGAAGCAUCUUCAGUUUGGAUAAACAGCACUGCGACAGGGCCGACCGGUUAUCUAUCCAAGUCUCGGUCGAGAAGGAUUUUUGAAUCAUUAUCGGUAGGGGUCAUCUCGUUAGCUUUCUCGGCGAAACGGGGUGUUACAAGUUACUAUACUCGACACAUUGAACGCCGAGUCGUUUAUGAUUGGUUAUUUGCAAGUAGGUUUUAGAGUUCGGCAUUCUGACGGUCGAACCACUUUCACAAUCAAGACAUAUAUUUGUUUUGAAUACUUGUGUCCCUAUACUCUGGUGUCGAUUCGGCGUGCUUAUACUUUUACGAAUAUAAUCACGGUGACUGAAUCCGGCGCCGACGAUUUGUGAACUUCGCAGAACUAGUAGCUUUGUCUUCAAGCUCUAGAACCUAAAGGCCGAGGCGUGUUCCUUCCUCGGCCGCAGUCGCAAGAUCGAGAAGUUAGCCGCGCACCCAAUGCAACAUCAACAAAUUUUACUCCUCGACCGAGCUCGGCCGACGAGUUGGCACGCCCCGCAUACAACCAAAUGACGUAGUUAGCUUACUAAUUACUCAGUCUGCGCGCCAUGUAGGCUUGGUAGUUUUUAAGGUCAACAAAUGCUAAUCACAAUUUCCUUUACAUUGAUAUAUAAUGAUGCGGUGAUGCUCACUAUGUUAUUUGGUGCCGAAUAAUUCAUUUUCAAAUAUAAAACUUAAUUAUUCAAAGUAAAUAAGAAGUUUCUAAAUUGAGAACUAGUAUAACCAUAUCGUUGUCUCUAAAUCGAAUCAACGGGUUAUGCAAGUGGUCUUUUACCACAGUGGUUGAAAUAUGUUGAGCCAUUGCAAGACGGAGUGGGUUCAAAUUCUGUCGGUGGCUAAUCCAACAAAAUCUAUUAUUUUACAAAAAAAAAAAAAAAAAAAAAAGGGGUUCUCCCUCAUCAUAAUAAUAAUUAUGUUUAGCCCUUGGGAAUAGUUCAACCUGUGACCGAUGAUGAAGGAUGGGAUAUCUAGUUCGGAUUAGGGUUAGCUCACCAAAUUAAAACUAGGCAUCGUUAUGAAAGCAAGUUUUCAAGGCCAUAAAAGACACAGGAAUUUUUGGCUUCUUUACCCUCAAAAGUCUAUGAAGAUGAUGUUUUUGGUGCAUGUAGUUUUCAAUAGCGACACUUUUUUAGAGAGGAAAGAAAAAAGUGCAAGAAAAAAAUUACAUGUUAAUUGAUUGGCCUUGGUUUGGGUUGCGUGAUAACAUUUUUGUCUGAAGUAAUAAUGCGGGAUUAGGCGCUACUUUCUUUUGGAAGUUGGAAAUUAACUCUGCUUUUUGGAAGGAAGCUUAAAAUGAAAGGUAAAAUUAGGGAGAUCAAAUUUUUAAAUAUUAAAUUUUGUAAAUCAAAUGAUGUAGUUCAAAAUGAUUGAAUUAUUACUCAAGUAUUAAUUAACGUACUUAUUUACUAUUGGUGACACAUCAUUU
rnacentral:lncRNA from 1 species